rnacentral:rRNA from 1 species
GGUGUUAUUCGGGCCAAAGCUCGCCCUUGUGGUGUGGCUGGGUUCGGGCAUCCUAAGUUUAGGUAGUGAUGUAAAAAGUCGCUCCUAAUCGUUUACUUUGAAAAAAUUAGAGUGUUCAAAGCAGGCGUAACCUUGCCAUUGAAUAGUACAGCAUGGGAUAAUAGAAUAUGACGUUGGUCUUAUUUUGUUGGUUUCUAAGGCUGAUGUA